rnacentral:rRNA from 1 species
CAUAGGUUAAUGAGGCGAACCGGGGGAACUGAAACAUCUAAGUACCCCGAGGAAAAGAAAUCAACCGAGAUUCCCCCAGUAGCGGCGAGCGAACGGGGAGCAGCCCAGAGCCUGAAUCAGUGUGUGUGUUAGUGGAAGCGUCUGGAAAGGCGCGCGAUACAGGGUGACAGCCCCGUACACAAAAAUGCACAUGCUGUGAGCUCGAUGAGUAGGGCGGGACACGUGGUAUCCUGUCUGAAUAUGGGGGGACCAUCCUCCAAGGCUAAAUACUCCUGACUGACCGAUAGUGAACCAGUACCGUGAGGGAAAGGCGAAAAGAACCCCGGCGAGGGGAGUGAAAAAGAACCUGAAACCGUGUACGUACAAGCAGUGGGAGCACGCUUAGGCGUGUGACUGCGUACCUUUUGUAUAAUGGGUCAGCGACUUAUAUUCUGUAGCAAGGUUAACCGAAUAGGGGAGCCGAAGGGAAACCGAGUCUUAACUGGGCGUUAAGUUGCAGGGUAUAGACCCGAAACCCGGUGAUCUAGCCAUGGGCAGGUUGAAGGUUGGGUAACACUAACUGGAGGACCGAACCGACUAAUGUUGAAAAAUUAGCGGAUGACUUGUGGCUGGGGGUGAAAGGCCAAUCAAACCGGGAGAUAGCUGGUUCUCCCCGAAAGCUAUUUAGGUAGCGCCUCGUGAAUUCAUCUCCGGGGGUAGAGCACUGUUUCGGCAAGGGGGUCAUCCCGACUUACCAACCCGAUGCAAACUGCGAAUACCGGAGAAUGUUAUCACGGGAGACACACGGCGGGUGCUAACGUCCGUCGUGAAGAGGGAAACAACCCAGACCGCCAGCUAAGGUCCCAAAGUCAUGGUUAAGUGGGAAACGAUGUGGGAAGGCCCAGACAGCCAGGAUGUUGGCUUAGAAGCAGCCAUCAUUUAAAGAAAGCGUAAUAGCUCACUGGUCGAGUCGGCCUGCGCGGAAGAUGUAACGGGGCUAAACCAUGCACCGAAGCUGCGGCAGCGACGCUUAUGCGUUGUUGGGUAGGGGAGCGUUCUGUAAGCCUGUGAAGGUGUACUGUGAGGUAUGCUGGAGGUAUCAGAAGUGCGAAUGCUGACAUAAGUAACGAUAAAGCGGGUGAAAAGCCCGCUCGCCGGAAGACCAAGGGUUCCUGUCCAACGUUAAUCGGGGCAGGGUGAGUCGACCCCUAAGGCGAGGCCGAAAGGCGUAGUCGAUGGGAAACAGGUUAAUAUUCCUGUACUUGGUGUUACUGCGAAGGGGGGACGGAGAAGGCUAUGUUGGCCGGGCGACGGUUGUCCCGGUUUAAGCGUGUAGGCUGGUUUUCCAGGCAAAUCCGGAAAAUCAAGGCUGAGGCGUGAUGACGAGGCACUACGGUGCUGAAGCAACAAAUGCCCUGCUUCCAGGAAAAGCCUCUAAGCAUCAGGUAACAUCAAAUCGUACCCCAAACCGACACAGGUGGUCAGGUAGAGAAUACCAAGGCGCUUGAGAGAACUCGGGUGAAGGAACUAGGCAAAAUGGUGCCGUAACUUCGGGAGAAGG